rnacentral:rRNA from 1 species
UACGUAGGGGGCUCGCGUUGUCCGGAAUCAUUGGGCGUAAAGCGCGUGUAGGCGGUCCGGUAAGUCCGCUGUGAAAGUCGAGGGCUCAACCCUCGAAUGCCGGUGGAUACUGUCGGGCUUGAGUACGGGAGAGGCGAGUGGAAUUCCUGGUGUAGCGGUGAAAUGCGCAGAUAUCAGGAGGAACACCGAUUGCGAAGGCAGCUCGCUGGAACGUUACUGACGCUGAGACGCGAAAGCGUGGGGAGCAAACAGG